UUACGGCCAUAUCUCGUUGGAACACGAGUUCUCGUACGAUCACCGAAGUUAAACAAGAUCGUGCCUAAUCAGUACCUAGAUGGGUGACUUUUUCGGAAUACCAGGUGUUGUAA